UUUUGUCAUAAAUAAAAAAUAUGGAUCCAAGAAUUGGUGAGAAUGGGAGAACUAGAGAGCUGAAUACAAGAAAUCCACUUUGGAACCUCUUUCUUGAGUCUGGCUCCACAAGUGCAACCAUGUUUCUCAG